UGUGGGGGCCGCACCAGAGCCGUGGUCGCUGCAUCUGGAGUCACGCGUGCUGGUCAGAAACCCCUCGCGUGAAUCUGCAAGCAUCGCUGCUCUGGCUGGAGGAGCUCACUCUUUUUCUCCGGCUCCAGAAACUGCUGCCGGCGUGAAGGAAACCAGCAGGGCCCUAGGCAGAAGGUUAAAACCCCACGGUAAGAGAUCCUUCCAAGAGUGGUGUGGAGGCGCAGUCGCAGCUUCCCGCUUCGGAUUGUGUCCUGGAGGGCCGAGGUGCGGGGCACACCUAGGGAGGAUCAGUCGUGCGGACCCCAGUCCUCACCCCUCCUCCGCGAGCUUCCGGGGUUGGAGUCUGGUUUAGGCAGUACGGGCUUCUUGGCUUUCCUCUGCCUCCGGGUACGCACUUCCCGGGCUGGAAUGUGAGUCCAGUUCCCACCCAGGGGGUCUGUGGCUUUGAUCUGAAAUACACCCCCUCCCUCCCCCUAAAGGGUGCAGAUCUCACCCGGGACCCAUUCUGAAUCUCAGAUGCGGGUGGGGUGCGCGUCGGCCUGAAGCGGCGGGAAGAGAAACUUUUACAAAGUGCAUCUAAACAGGGCAACGCUCCUGGAUCCCAGAGCAGGCUCGGCGUGGGGCUGUGUAGGGAGGGCUACAGCGCAGUCUCGAUUUGUCCUCCCUGGCUACCUAUGCCUCAUCAAGGGAGGUAUUAAGAAUAAGUAAAUUUUGCUCAACUUUUGGACCAACAACUGUCAAACAUCUGGGAUCGUUGCUCCUCCCUUUUCUGCACCGGAGAAGGUGAAAACUAAACUUUCCCUUCAUUUCUCCUCCCCACCACUGGACCCCCAGGAUGGGGUUGUUAAUGGUAAAGAGCGGUUCCCGCCUCCUGGAGCGUGGCAGAGGCUCUAGACCACUCAGAUUUCUUCCAGCCCCCUUUCAGACCCUCUGCAAGUCUUCCCCGCAGAGACGGGGCGACAGAGCCAUUCUCCUGUAACCCAGUGAAUGGCCUUUUGUUUCUCUGCGGUUCCACUAUUGUUGCGCCUCUUAACAUCUGGUGGGGCUCCAGCGGGGAAGGAAGUCCCUUUCGCCGCUCGCGGGGCCUUUCACGCUGGCCUUUGCGCAGGCUCGAGUCCGGGAUCCCCGCUGGGGAAGGACAGAGUUCGGGACCUGGCUAGGCCGCCCCACCCGGGGCUUGUGGUUAGAGGGCGGAGGGAAAGUUGUUCCUGAGCCCGCCUCCUAGGCUGCUUGUGGCCCAGGGCGCAUUUCUCAGAUCUUAUCCCCAGCGAAUCUGAAACGAGAGAUUGGAGGCAAAGUUCUCGAAAGCUAGGAGAUCUGCGAGAGGGUCCAAAGGACUUUCAGAGGCGAGCUAAACGCAUAUGGAGGGCCCACAACCCGGGCGAUGGCCGGAGACAGGGCACCUCAUCUCUACGGAAAGUUCAGGGGUGGCAAAAUUUUAAGGGCAGGCAGGCCAUUGACCACAAAAGAGUGGAGACUAAAGCUAACCUGGGAAGGCUAAAGACUUUGCCUGGAAAUGGUGGUGUCGUGAUUCGCUGUGAAAUGUUCGUGGGCUUCUGACUUCACCUAAGGCUCCAAGUUUAAGACCCAAAUUUUUCGCCGCGAUGCAGAAAAAGCAAGCCAUGACUACGCAGUCCAAAUGGCAGAUGCGGCCAGAGCACUGUUCUGCCCGAGAACAGGUGGCUUGGGGUAGCCCCUAUUUCUCCAGAGGGGGGCGCCUGUUGGACUAUAGCAGGUCGGGUUUCCUGGAAUAAGUUAGGUGCUUGCUUCUAGAGCAGUUAGCCUGUGUGGGUUACUUAUUAAACAAUCUUGGCAAGAGUAAAGUCACCUUCCAAAGUCCGCAGCGACCGGAACUGUCACCUGAGGGUCGACUAGAGGAGGUUUGAUGGUAUACACCUGUUGGGACCUGUGCCUCUUGCCAGGUUUGUAAAUGUUGCCUUUGCCAAUUUUUCCUGUGGAAUUGCCAACCUUGGACUGUCUAGGAGAUGCGGAAACAUCCUUCCCCCACCCACCCACCCCCAGUUCUGAGUUUUGGCACCCUUCCUCUCCCACUCAGGGGAGUAAGAGAGGCUUAUAUGAGACCUGUGACCUCUGCACCUCUCCACCACUCCACCCUUGCUCGGGAUGGGGCCCUAGCGUGUUAAACAAGCACUCUUACAUCCCAACCCAUCUUCAGAUAGUUAUAAGUUCUGGGCUCUGCACAGGUCUAGUUUGCCCUUAAACCUUAAAGUACUUUGAGAGACUGUUAACUCAAGAGAGGAUCUAUAGAGAAACUUUCGCCGUGACUUCUAGAUCUUGACGGUGGGGUUCUGAAAAGAAAAACGGCAAAUUCUCUGGAGUGCUCAAGACACUCUAAUGAUAAGGGCCCACAAGUUCGGAUUUCUUUGAAAUUUAACAGUAGCAGCACAGUAACAAACGACCUGCUGAAGAAAUACUGCUUGGGUUUUGUUUGCUCAAGGAGUACAAGAAGGCGUCAUUAAAGUUAAAGUCAGGGCUUGGGCCAGCCAAGAAGGAAAACACAAUCAUUAUAGAGGAAAAUAAGGGUGUUCAAUUUCGUUAAU
rnacentral:lncRNA from 1 species